rnacentral:rRNA from 1 species
AACGAACGCUGGCGGCAUGCCUAACACAUGCAAGUCGAACGAGAUCUUCGGAUCUAGUGGCGCACGGGUGCGUAACGCGUGGGAAUCUGCCCUGGGGUGCGGAAUAACUCAGAGAAAUUUGAGCUAAUACCGCAUAAUGUCUUCGGACCAAAGAUUUAUUGCCCUGGGAUGAGCCCGCGUAGGAUUAGCUAGUUGGUGGGGUAAAAGCCUACCAAGGCGACGAUCCUUAGCUGGGUCUGAGAGGAUGAUCAGCCACACUGGGACUGAGACACGGCCCAGACUCCUACGGGAGGCAGCAGUGGGGAAUAUUGGGCAAUGGGCGAAAGCCUGAUCCAGCAAUGCCGCGUGAGUGAUGAAGGCCUUAGGGUUGUAAAGCUCUUUUACCCGGGAUGAUAAUGACAGUACCGGGAGAAUAAGACUCCGGCUAACUCCGUA